AUAGUACUCCCUCCGUCCCAAAAUUCCUGUCUUAGAUUUGUCUAGAUACGGAUGUAUCUAAUACUAAAACGUGACUUGAUACAUCCGUAUUUAGACAAGUUUAAGACAAGAAUUUUAGGACGGAGGGAGUACAAG
rnacentral:pre_miRNA from 1 species